rnacentral:rRNA from 1 species
UACGUAGGGUGCAAGCGUUAAUCGGAAUUACUGGGCGUAAAGCGUGCGCAGGCGGCUUUGCAAGACAGAUGUGAAAUCCCCGGGCUCAACCUGGGAACUGCAUUUGUGACUGCAUCGCUGGAGUGCGGCAGAGGGGGAUGGAAUUCCGCGUGUAGCAGUGAAAUGCGUAGAGAUGUGGAGGAACACCGACGGCGCAGGCAGCGUCCUGGCCGCUUGCUGACACUGAGGCACGAAAGCUGGGGGAGCAAACAGG